rnacentral:rRNA from 1 species
AACGAACGCUGGCGGCAGGCUUAACACAUGCAAGUCGAACGCCCCGCAAGGGGAGUGGCAGACGGGUGAGUAACGCGUGGGAACAUACCCUUUCCUGCGGAAUAGCUCCGGGAAACUGGAAUUAAUACCGCAUACGCCCUACGGGGGAAAGAUUUAUCGGGGAAGGAUUGGCCCGCGUUGGAUUAGCUAGUUGGUGGGGUAAAGGCCUACCAAGGCGACGAUCCAUAGCUGGUCUGAGAGGAUGAUCAGCCACAUUGGGACUGAGACACGGCCCAAACUCCCGCGGGGGGCGGGAGGGGGGAAUAUUGGACAAUGGGCGAAAGCCUGACCCGGCCCGGCCGGGGGAGGGAGGAAGGCCUUAGGGUUUAAAAGCUCUUUCCCCGAGGAAGAUAAUGACGGGAGUCGGAGAAGAAGCCCCGGCAAACUUCGU